CCUACGGGUGGCAGCAGUCGAGAAUCAUUCACAAUGGGGGAAACCCUGAUGGUGCGACGCCGCGUGGGGGAAUGAAGGUCUUCGGAUUGUAAACCCCUGUCAUGUGGGAGCAAAUUAAAAAGAUAGUACCACAAGAGGAAGAGACGGCUAACUCUGUGCCAGCAGCCGCGGUAAUACAGAGGUCUCAAGCGUUGUUCGGAAUCACUGGGCGUAAAGCGUGCGUAGGCUGUUUCGUAAGUCGUGUGUGAAAGGCGCGGGCUCAACCCGCGGACGGCACAUGAUACUGCGAGACUAGAGUAAUUGAGGGGGAACCGGAAAUCCUGGUGGAGACGGGAAAAGGGG
rnacentral:rRNA from 1 species